UCCAAGGUGCCGCACUCCUCCCACUGUGUCUCUGCAUACACACCCAGCCCCUUCCAGAGCCCCCUCUCCUUCCUGGGGACAGGACGGUGGGACUGGCAGGCUAAGGCUGUACAUGAGAGGGAGCCGACACUGGACUCCUGAUUUCACCAGACAGGUAAAGUGUGACUGAGAGAGGAGAAGCGACCUUCUCAACGCCCCAAGACCAGUGGGUGGCAGAGCCGGAUGUUGAACUCACAUUUCUUUGACACCCAAGCCUGCACUUGUUGAACCGCCCAGGCAGGCAGGCUGUCCUCCAGGAAGACCAAGAAAAGCACCUGGUUACCCUCAGUGACUGUCUGGUAGCCACUCCUCUACUGAAUCACGAACCACUCUGAGCCUCAGUUUCUCCUCGUGGAAAAAAGGAAAACAACUGGCACCCAGGGAAGCAGUAGGAUGCCAAGGCCCCAUCAGUGAGGGAGGUCUUUGGGAUGUAUGUAGGGUUUUCCCCUUGCAGGAAGGCUCCUCUCUCCCUAGCUUCCAUGUCUCCCUCCCAAAUCCUGGAAAGCCACAUACUCCCUCUCCUCCCAUCCUCCCCCAGCAGCCUAUAGAACUUCAGGGAGCUCUGUCCAGUUAGGGAGCCCUGCUCAGUGGCUUUCGAUUCAAAUCCCAGAGGGUUUCCCACCACCAUCUCAGGGUGUCUCUCUCUCUCUCUCUCACACACACACACACACACACACACAGAGAGAGAGAGAGAGAGAGGCUGAAGCUGUAAUUCCUGCCUGGGCUCUAUGGUUGACCCACUUUGGUCUGUCUGUUACCCUCUUCCAAACUGCUCAGAUCAGAGAGAGGAACCACUUUGGUCGGCACCACCUUAGCCUCUCCUUAAAGGGAAGAAUAUCCCAGGUGUGUCCCCAGGAGGAGUGAAAACUCCAGGUCCAAGUCCUGAAAGUACCUGAAGCCAAGCCCUUGGCUUUCUCACUCUGGCUUAAAGGCAGGCCUUUAAAAUCCUCUGAUCCCCUACAUACCCAGGAACAAUGCUUCUCCCAUCUUACAAAUGAAAGGAGGGAUUUGCACAAACCCUCACAGAGAGUGGGAAUCAAAGGUCACAGCUGAAAACGAAAGAUGCCAGGACCUGAAUGAUACACUUUCAUCCCAAAUCAGCCCGGUGGGACCCCCCCAUUCUUCAUUCACCCAACCCAUGUUGACAUAGGAAAUGAUUUCCAUACUCCCGAGAAAAGAACUUUUGCUGAGUGUGAUGAUGAGUUCUCUGUAUCAACUUGACUAGGCUAUAGUACCCAGUGAUUUAACCAAACACUACUCCAGUCUACAGUCUACAGUCAGAUUAAUGUCUACAGUCAGGGACCUUAAGUAAAGGAGGCUAACCUUGAAAAGGUGGGUGGCCUUCUCCAAUCAAUUGAAGGCCAUAAGAGCAUAAACUGAGGUUUCCUGAAAAAUAAGAUAUUCUGCCUCAAGAAUCUGCAACAUCAACUGCUACCUGAGUCUCUGGCCUACACACUUCACACUUGCCAGGCCCCACAAUUGUGUAAGCCAAUCCCUUACAAUAAAUUUCUUAAUAUGGGUUCUGUUUCUCUGGAGAACCCUGAUGAAUAAAAUGAGUAGAUAAGAGAAGUCAAGAACCAGGCUGGGUGAGGUGACUCACGCCUAUAAUCCCAGCGCUUUGGGAUGCCGA
rnacentral:lncRNA from 1 species